rnacentral:lncRNA from 1 species
CAGAGGAACCACCCACAGAUGGCUUUGGGUUAUGUUUGCGUUUUACUUGCCAGCCCAGACUCUUGGGCUCAUGCCCAAGUUCCAGCUCAGGGGGACACCAACAAAGAAAAAAAGUUUCAGAGAGAAAGAGGCGUUUGUAUUGAUUCAAGAGGAUUGAAUCAGGUGGAUUUUCCAUUUAGAAAGCAAAAGAAAAUCAAGACUUCAGCAUUGUGUUUAAAAUGAUGAAGGCAGCCGGGGG